rnacentral:rRNA from 1 species
AGAAUCAACGCUGGCGGCGUGCCUAACACAUGCAAGUCGCACGAGAAAGGGGAGCAAUCCCUGAGUACAGUGGCGCACGGGUGAGUAACACGUGAAUGAUCUACCUCCGAGUGGGGAAUAACUGAGAGAAAUCUUAGCUAAUACCGCAUAAUACCCACGGGUCAAAGCAGUAAUGCGCUUGGAGAGGAGUUCGCGGCAGAUUAGUUAGUUGGCGGGGUAAUGGCCCACCAAGACGAUGAUCUGUAUCCGGCCUGAGAGGGCGCACGGACACACUGGAACUGAAACACGGUCCAGACUCCUACGGGAGGCAGCAGUGGGGAAUUUUGCGCAAUGGGGGAAACCCUGACGCAGCAACGCCGCGUGGAGGAUGAAGCCCCUUGGGGUGUAAACUCCUUUCGAUCGGGAAGAUAAUGACGGUACCGAUAUAAGAAGCCCCGGCUAACUUCGCGCCAGCAGCCGC